CUAAGAUAUCCUGCACAAGGCACGGGCUUAUCUGUCAUAGUCCGCGAAAAUACUUUAUUUAGAAUUUAUUGUAAAAAAAUUAUAACUACUCAGAUAUCCUGCACAAGGCACGGGCUUAUCUGUCAUAGUCCGCGAAAAUACUUUAUUUAGAAUUUAUUGUAAAAAAUUUAUAACUACUAAAAGAGGGACGAAAGAUACCAAAGGGACAGUCAAACUCGUAAAUCUAAAACAAACUGACAACGCCAUGGCUAAAAAUGAAAAAGACAAACAGAAAACAAUAGUACACAUGACACAACAUAGAAAACUAAAGAAUAAACAACACGAACCCCACCAAAAACUAGGGGUGAUCUCAGGUGCUCCGGAAGGGUAAGCACUAAACACUAAAAGAAUUUAUCUAGAAUUUAUUGUUAAACAAGAAUGCACACAC
rnacentral:lncRNA from 1 species